UACGAACUGUGCAAACGUUAUUCGGAAUCACUGGGCUUAAAGCGUGUGUAGGCGGACUUCUAAGUACCUUGUGAAAUCCCACGGCUCACCCGUGGAACUGCUUGGUAUACUGGUCGUCUUGAGCCUUCUAGGGGCGAGUGGAACAAAUGGUGGAGCGGUGAAAUGCGUAGAUAUCAUUUGGAACGCCAAUGGUGAAAACAACUCGCUGGGGAAGUGCUGACGCUGAGACACGAAAGCCAGGGGAGCGAACGGG
rnacentral:rRNA from 1 species